AGGAUGAACGCUAGCGGCAGGCCUAAUACAUGCAAGUCGAACGGUAAGUAGAGUAGCAAUACUUUACCAAGAGUGACGCACGGGUGCGUGACACGUAUGCAACCUACCCUUUACAGGAGUAUAGCUCGGGGAAACUCGAAUUAACACUUCAUAGUAUAAUUGAAUGGCAUCAUUUGAUUAUUAAAUCUGAGGAGGUAAAGGAUGGGCAUGCGUCUGAUUAGCUUAGUUGGUAGUGUAAUGGACUACGAAGGCGAUGAUCGAGGUAGGGGAACGUGGAGGUAGGUUAGACUCCCCCCAC
rnacentral:rRNA from 1 species